CGCUAUCGAUAUGAUCAGUACGAUCAGUUGGCCCUUCUCCAGUAUUUGGUAAUCUCUACAAGAUGUUGCGUGUAUUGUUGGUUUUCUCAAUUAUUGGCACGAUUUACGGUCAGGGCUGUCCAGCCUUUAAUGCGGUGACGCAUAGCAGUACUGUAUACGCUCUGCUCAACGGUACAUUUUAUGAAAGGUUCACCACAUCUUCCAAUGUUAUACCAUGCGAAAAAAACACCUGGUCAGGUACGGGCAUCGAUCGCGUUGUAAUAAUCGAGUCAGUUGGUUGCUGCAGAAGAGCUUACAACCCCGAUGAAUCGGAUCCGAGUCAGGUGACCUUUCACGUCGAACCACUGACUUUCAAUACAGGGUGCCUGCUAGGUACCGGAACAGCCGCCGCUAAAUAUUUUAGCUCUUUUGGAAGCGGUGACAACCUUUGCAUACUCAGCUCUAUUUGCAGCAACCAACGAGAAGGGAUGUACGUACAUUGUCGCCAGAAAACAGUCCCAACUGGAAUCUUAAGUACCGUAAUAAGCGUUUUGACUUCACUUCUUCUUGUCCUUUUUAUCCCGAAUUUGCAGACAGUAAGUCAAGUGGAGUGUAAUAUCCCAGAUAAUAAUUGUAUCGCAUAAAAUUAAAGGAGUUGGGUGAACGUCAGAAAAAAUAAAGAACUUUUAUUGCCUAU